GACGAACGCUGGCGGCGUGCCUAAUACAUGCAAGUAGAACGCUGAAGGAGGAGCUUGCUUCUCUGGAUGAGUUGCGAACGGGUGAGUAACGCGUAGGUAACCUGCCUGGUAGCGGGGGAUAACUAUUGGAAACGAUAGCUAAUACCGCAUAAUAGCAGUUAUUGCAUGAUAACUGUUUGAAAGGUGCAAUUGCACCACUACCAGAUGGACCUGCGUUGUAUUAGCUAGUUGGUGGGGUAACGGCUCACCAAGGCGACGAUACAUAGCCGACCUGAGAGGGUGAUCGGCCACACUGGGACUGAGACACGGCCCAGACUCCUACGGGAGGCAGCAGUAGGGAAUCUUCGGCAAUGGGCGGAAGUCUGACCGAGCAACGCCGCGUGAGUGAAGAAGGUUUUCGGAUCGUAAAGCUCUGUUGUAAGAGAAGAACGAGUGUGAGAGUGGAAAGUUCACACUGUGACGGUAUCUUACCAGAAAGGGACGGCUAACUACGUG
rnacentral:rRNA from 1 species